rnacentral:rRNA from 1 species
AGUGAACGCUGGCGGUAGGCCUAACACAUGCAAGUCGAACGGCAGCACAGUAAGAGCUUGCUCUUACGGGUGGCGAGUGGCGGACGGGUGAUGAAUACACCGGAAUCUACUUUUUCGUGGGGGAUAACGUAGGGAAACUUACGCUAAUACGGCAUACGACCUACGGGUGAAGGCAGGGGAUCUUCGGACCUUGCGCGAUUGAAUGAGCCGAUGUCGGAUUAGCUAGUUGGCGGGGUAAAGGCCCACCUAGGCGACGAUCCGUAGCUGGUCUGAGAGGAUGAUCAGCCACACUGGAACUGAGACACGGUCCAGACUCCUACGGGAGGCAGCAGUGGGGAAUAUUGGACAAUGGGCGCAAGCCUGAUCCAGCCAUACCGCGUGGGUGAAGAAGGCCUUCGGGUUGUAAAGCCCUUUUGUUGGGAAAGAAAAGCAGCAGGUUAAUACCCCGCUGUUCUGACGGUACCCAAAGAAUAAGCACCGGCUAACUUCGUG